CGUGCGAUGGCCGAGUGGUCUAUGGCGGCGGGCUCAUAACUCGCUGGAGCAAUCCGCGUUGGUUCGAAUCCAACUCGCACGUCCA
rnacentral:tRNA from 1 species